UCCAGGGUAGCCUAGUGGACAUGGCAUCUGCCCGGUAAGCGGAACACUGUGGGUUCGAAUCCCAUCCCUGGAU
rnacentral:tRNA from 1 species